rnacentral:lncRNA from 1 species
GUUGACCCGUUUAGGAGUUAUUGACCUUUAUAGUCAAUUUUUAACCAUUUUUCGUAAAUUAAAGUAAUCUUUUACAAAAAUCUUCUCCUCUGAAACUACUGGGCCAAAUUAAUCCAAACUUAGCCACAAUCAUCUUUGGGGUAUCUAGUUUAAAAAAUGUGUGGCGUGACCUGGUCAACCAACUAAGAUGGACGCCACAGCUAAAAAUAGAACAUAGGGGUAAAAUGCAGUUUUUGGCUUAUAACUCAAAAACCAAAGCAUUUUGAGGAAAUCUGACAUGGGAUAAAAAUGUUUAUCAGGUCAAGAUCUAUCUGCCCUGAAAUUUUCAGUUGAAUCAGUCAACCCGUUGUUGGGUUGCUGCCCCUGAAUUGGUAAUUUUGAGGAAAUUU